rnacentral:snRNA from 1 species
AUAUCUUUCUAGGCCUUUUGGCUAAGAUAAGUGUAAUAUUUGUUCUUGUGUACCCUCGCAACACACAUGUAUUGUACUAGUAAAUAGUAAUGUUUCACAUUCAGCUACAUACAUUGUUGACCUUUUGCUGUGCAAACAUGUCAGCACAUCUCAAUUGAAGUUUCUGAAAGGGAAAUGCGCC